ACGUAGGUAGCGAGCGUUAUUCGGAUUUACUGGGCGUAAAGGGUCCGCAGGAGGCCUGCCAAGUCUGAUGUGAAAGCCCACGGCUCAACUGUGGAACGGCAUCGGAAACUGGCGGGCUCGAGUGCACGAGGGGAAAGCGGAAUUCCAGGUGUAGCGGUGGAAUGCGUAGAUAUCUGGAGGAACACCGAUGGCGAAGGCGGCUUUCUGGCGUGCAACUGACUCUCAUGGACGAAAGUGUGGGUAGCAAACAG
rnacentral:rRNA from 1 species